rnacentral:misc_RNA from 1 species
AACACCUCAAACUCCAAGAUUUGUUUCUUUGGAGUUUGGAUUUGAGUAAUCCUAACGAGAAAGCAAUUUCUUGGCAGGUCACUUGAAAUUCAGGUGCAGCUGAACAUUCUUCUGAGCUAAAAGCAUAUUUAUUUAGUCCUGUCGAACUUUCGAGUUUUUAUGGAUUAUUACUUUUUGCUGCAGCUAAUAUAAAGGUUGAAUGGUUUCAAAUGCUGACUGAUGCAGGAAUUUAUCGGUUUCGUUUUUGUAAACUGUUAA